CCGGAGCUAAUACCGGAUAAGAUAUCGAACCGCAUGGUUCGAUAGUGAAAGAUGGUUUUGCUAUCACUUAUGAUGGACCCGCGCCGUAUUAGCUAGUUGGUGAGGUAACGGCUCACCAAGGCAACGAUACGUAGCCGACCUGAGAGGGUGAUCGGCCACACUGGAACUGAGACACGGUCCAGACUCCUACGGGAGGCAGCAGUU
rnacentral:rRNA from 1 species